UACGUAGGGUGCAAGCGUUGUCCGGAAUUAUUGGGCGUAAAGAGCUCGUAGGCGGUCUGUCGCGUCGGCUGUGAAAUCCCGAGGCUCAACCUCGGGUCUGCAGUCGAUACGGGCAAACUAGAGUAUUGCAGGGGAGACUGGAAUUCCUGGUGUAGCGGUGAAAUGCGCAGAUAUCAGGAGGAACACCCGUGGCGAAAGCGGCUCUCUGGAACGGUACUGACGCUGAGGUGCGAAAGCGUGGGGAGCAAACAGG
rnacentral:rRNA from 1 species